rnacentral:rRNA from 1 species
UACGUAGGGGGCAAGCGUUGUCCGGAAUCAUUGGGCGUAAAGAGCGUGUAGGCGGCCAGAAAAGUCCGCUGUGAAAACUCGAGGCUCAACUUCGAGCUGUCGGUGGAAACUUUCUGGCUAGAGUCCGGAAGAGGAGAAUGGAAUUCCUGGUGUAGCGGUGGAAUGCGCAGAUAUCAGGAAGAACACCCGUGGCGAAGGCGGUUCUCUGGGACGGUACUGACGCUGAGACGCGAAGCCGUGGGGAGCGAACAGG